CACCCUGGAUUGCACUAGUUGCAGACAAUUUCCAUUUUAAUAAAGUGGACUACCUUCUUGUAAUUGACUAUUUCAGUAAAUAUGUAGAAAUCAUAAAAUUGAAUAACAUGUCUAGUGAUUGAGACGUUUUCUAACAUGAAUACUUUUAUCAGUUGUUUUUCACUAAAUAUCUAGAAACUUGCAAACGCUGGCUUGUUCAAUUGAUUCUGUGCUUUCUUUCUCUUUGCUCUGUCCUUGUCAGUACCAUGGAGUCUUUCUAUUCCUUACUCUCUACUCUCCUUGUCUUUCAGAUAAUACCGUUUUGCUUACGUCAUUUCUACAUUUUGUUGAAUCCUUUUUCGUUUGGUCUGAACACUUUUGCUCGAGCAUUUCUUGGAGAAGGAUCGUUUAAUUAACCCUUGAAUUUUUAUCCUUUUAUUUAGCUUCUGCUAAAGAUGUAGUCGCUCAGAGCAAAGAUUUUCUAACAUCAUAAGUUGUGAUAUCUAUAUUUAUUUUUAGUUUUUCCAUGUAGAUGAUUUUUUUUUUGUAAAUUGAUUUAAAGCAAAGUAAUCAUGGUGGAAAAUUCAGUCACCAUAAUUUAAUUUCAGUUGUUGAGUAUCUGAAUUUCUUUUUAAGUUUUUUCUGGAAAUGUUUAAUUUAUUACAUACGAAAUCCGCUGUACAGCGGUCAUUGCAUCACAUUGAAUAUCUUUGAAUCUCGUCAAUUCUCGUUGAAUCUUAUGGUAUCUAGUUGAAUUUGGAAUCACAAUCUUUGAUAUGGCCAUGGAAAAUUGUCAACAAAUUCGUUCGAAAAUAACUACUGAAAAAGGAACCAAUUCAUCACAAGUAUAGAAUACUUCAAGAGCUUCAUGUGUUUUGUGCAAGAAAAGUGAAUGUCCGAUAUAAAAAAAAGUGUAGGAGGCCUCCCACUUAUAUAACAAGGUAUUUACGAAUAAAUUAUACAUCAACAUCUAAUCAUCAGAAUCUAGCAUAGUAGAAAUUGUAAAAUCUAAUUUUCUUGUAUUUUAAAAUAUUCUUUUCUCUUACGUUUGUAUAUUAAAUUUACAUCAUGAUUACUAA